GACGAACGCUGGCGGCGUGCUUAACACAUGCAAGUCGAACGGAAAGGCCCUGCUUUUGUGGGGUGCUCGAGUGGCGAACGGGUGAGUAAUACGUGAGUAACCUGCCCUUGACUUUGGGAUAACUUCAGGAAACUGGGGCUAAUACCGGAUAGGAGCUCCUGCUGCAUGGUGGGGGUUGGAAAGUUUCGGCGGGUGGGGAUGGACUCGCGGCUUAUCAGCUUGUUGGUGGGGUAGUGGCUUACCAAGGCUUUGACGGGUAGCCGGCCUGAGAGGGUGACCGGCCACAUUGGUACUGAGAUACGGCCCAGACUCCUACGGGAGGCAGCAGUGGGGAAUAUUGCACAAUGGGCGGAAGCCUGAUGCAGCAACGCCGCGUGCGGGAUGACGGCCUUCGUGUUGUAAACCGCUUUCGCCUGUGACGAAGCGUGAGUGACGGUAAUGGGUAAAGAAGCACCGGCUAACUACGUG
rnacentral:rRNA from 1 species